CCGGAGCUGGAGGGGCCGGUCGCGGUGCCCUGUGCUGGCAAGGAGCAAGGUGUUUUGCAGGCGAGAGUGAUGAAUUCUGCGUUUAACGACGUCUCCUUGGCAUGCUACCUAAACGAUGGGCAUGGAAGUGGUGCUGAGGGAUGUGGGCGGAAUCGUGGCAUGAAUCGAGAAAGCAGGGACUUUUGUCUUUAGGGUCCUCAGAAGUUGAGAAGCUCUGGAUUGCCUCGCAUCUGAUAGAAGUUGUCACAAAAAAAUUAUCCAGCAGGAGGCACAUGACUCAGUUCUCAUCACUGGAAUGGGAAGAGGAAGCCAUUGGGACUGGGGAUUCCUGGGAUUCUGACAAUGAGUAGAUCUCAUUGUUUUGGUGUCACUCCCUCCUGCUCCCCAAAUUGACAUAAGAGAUUGUGGCCACCAUCUUUGGGCUGUGAUGCCUUAUGGCUGAGGUUGCAAACCAGUGAGUUUCAGAUGGCCAAGGAUGGGAAGAAUCCAGGUCCUGGAAAACACCGUGGAACUGUCAUGCCAAUACUGGAAAUGCCUACCUUUGGACUACUAAGUAAACAGCUAGCCUUUGGUUUAAGUCUGUUAGUUUAAGUCUGUUAGGUUUUCUGUGUCUUGGAGUCAAAUACAUCCCAACUAUGAUAGAAAGUGUGAAGUAUUUGAUACAAAGUCGGCGAGCAUUUGUGAUAUUCUGAUGGGUAUCCUACUGAAUAUCCCGAGUGGCAUUUCAAAGACAUUACGGUAUUAAUUGAGCACUUACUACGUAUAUUAUUCUAAGCUCUGGGGAUACAAAAAUAGUUUGCCAAAAGAGCUUGUAGUUAUAGACAUCGUAAAUAGAAGAGACUAACAUUAAACAACUGAUUGCUCAUUUACAUUUUAUAAUAAUCACUUAUUCAAGCUAACAAGAAAAAAUUAGAGAUUUCAAGGAUGAAAUAAUAAUAUAAGUAAUAAAAUACUAUAAAAUAUAUAACCA
rnacentral:lncRNA from 1 species